rnacentral:rRNA from 1 species
GACGAACGCUGGCGGCGUGCCUAACACAUGCAAGUCGAACGGAGUAAUUUCUUCGGAGAUUACUUAGUGGCGAACGGGUGAGUAACGCGUGAGAAACCUGCCUUUCAGUGGGGGACAACAGUUGGAAACGACUGCUAAUACCGCAUAAUGUUAUUUGGGUGCAUCCCUGAAUAACCAAAGAUUUAUUGCUGAAAGAUGGUCUCGCGUCUGAUUAGCUAGAUGGCGGGGUAACGGCCCACCAUGGGGAAGAGCAGUAGCCGGUCGGAGAGGAUGAACGGACACAUUGGGACUGAGAGACGGACCAGACUCCUACGGGGGGCAACAGUGGGGAAUAUUGGGCAAUGGGGGAAACCCUGACCCAGCAACGCCGCGUGAAGGAAGAAGGCCUUCGGGUUGUAAACUUCUUUUACCAGGGACGAACAAAUGACGGUACCUGGAGAAAAAGCAACGGCUAACUACGUGCCAGCCGCCGCGGUAAGAC